AAUAAAAGUUAUAAUACAUAUUAUACAUUAGUAAGUGACUUAUUAAUUUGUACUUACUUUCCUUUCCUUUUUAAAACAUUAUACGUCCAACGAUAGAAAUAUUUUUACAAUGUGGAGCUUGUGACCUAUGAAAUCACAGACCGACACAUUACAAUGUAAUCCAUGUGUUAAAAGUACAAAAAAUGAAAUGUCAAUUAUAAGUAAAG
rnacentral:lncRNA from 1 species